rnacentral:rRNA from 1 species
GGGAUUGCCCUAGUAACGGCGAGUGAAGCGGCAACAGCUCAAAUUUGAAAUCUGGCCUUCUGGUCCGAAUUGUAAUUUGUAGAGGAUGAUUUUGGUGCGGUACCUUCCGAGUUCCUUGGAACAGGACGCCUUAGAGGGUGAGAGCCCCGUACGGUUGGGAUGCCUAGCCUUUGUAAAUCUCCUUCGACGAGUCGAGUAGUUUGGGAAUGCUGCUCUAAAUGGGAGGUAAAUUUCUUCUAAAGCUAAAUAUUGGCCAGAGACCGAUAGCGCACAAGUAGAGUGAUCGAAAGAUGAAAAGCACUUUGAAAAGAGGGUUAAAUAGCACGUGAAAUUGUUGAAAGGGAAGGAUUUAUGACCAGACUUUUUCUAGGCGGAUCAUCCGGUGUUCUCACCGGUGCACUUUGUCUAGUUUAGGCCAGCAUCGAUUUUCGGCAGCGGAUAAAAGCUUCAGGAAUGUGGCUCCUCCGGGAGUGUUAUAGCCUGUUGUAUAAUACGCCGCUGGGGAUCGAGGUACGCGCUUCUGCAAGGAUGCUGGCGUAAUGGUUAUCAAUCA